rnacentral:lncRNA from 1 species
GGUUAGGAAGGAGGGAAAGAGGAAUCAACUUACCUCAGGGUGAAGUCUCUUCUUUCCAUGAUUCCUCUUCAGGCUGAGACCAGAGUGAAGGAAAGAAGUAGGACCUGGCUGAUGCCCAGUACUACAGCUGAUAAUAUCCAUAAUGAUGGAGAAAAGCAAGAGAUAAAUUGAGUUCAUCUGUCACAAAGCUGGCGGUUGGCAGAAACAGACGAGAGGAAAAUAGUCGUGCACCUGAGGAGUCAACUCUAGCAGAGUGGAAGGAAAGGCACUCGUGGUGGGGAGACAUGGGAAGACAGGGAGAAAGGCUUAGGGCCAAUCAAGUGACCCCAAAUCCUAUCUCCAUAACCACUAGGUGCUUUAUUUAAGACUCAGAAGAUGCAGCUGGAAAGAACUCUAAGCCACAACCUAGAAAGAUGUUUCCCUUUGCAUAUGGGAGUCAAUCAACAACCACUGAUUAAGCAAUUACUAUGAGCUGAUAACUAUGCUGAGUUCUCAGAAUUUUUUUUAAAUGAUCCCUGCCCUCAAGGAAAUUACAUUCAUAAAUCAGCACAUACAAGGCAUUCAUCCUUCAUUUUUCAUAAAGGACCAACAAGAA